rnacentral:tRNA from 1 species
GCCUGGGUGGCUCAGUGGGUUAAAGCCUCUGCCUUCGGCUCAGGUCAUGAUCCCAGCGUCGUGGGAUUGAGCCCCACAUCAGGCU